UACGUAGGGUGCGAGCGUUGUCCGGAAUUAUUGGGCGUAAAGCGCUCGUAGGCGGAUCAGUAAGUCUGUGAAGAAAGACCCGGGCUCAACCUGGGAACUGCAUCCAAAACUGGCAAGCUAGAGUACGGUAGAGGGUGGUGGAAUUUCCUGUGUAGCGGUGAAAUGCGUAGAUAUAGGAAGGAACACCAGUGGCGAAGGCGACCACCUGGACUGAUACUGACACUGAGGUGCGAAAGCGUGGGGAGCAAACAGG
rnacentral:misc_RNA from 1 species